AGAAAUGCUUCUUCAGAAACCUUUUCUGGUCUAUUCACGAACAUCUAGAUAGUGAUCUUGUGUUCCUUAUUUUCUUUCAUUUUUUAUCGGAUUUGGAAAUUCAGAAUCCAUUCUAUGACUGUAAUCAUGGUAGGGGAAAACGGUCAUUGAUAAUGGAACUAAGAUUUAUAAAUCGUAUGCCAACUCAAUAUCAACUGUGAUUUGUGGCUGAAAGCUCACUGUUCUGUCUACUUUUUAGUAUGAAUGCUUUCGCUGACUUUCCUAUAAAAUGCUUGUGGUGAUUAAUGGAUGCCUUAAUUUCACAUGCAAUAAGUUUUUUGGUUGUAAAUUUUAUUGUUUUUCUUUCUUUAUAAGUUUCUCUACUUUCUUUCAGGAAGACCAUGGGGUCUUGUUAAGAGCAAAGUUCGAAAGGAUUACCCUUCGGUUCAGUUAACAGCAUGGAAGUUUUGGCCUAUUGUUGGAUGGGUGAAUUACCAGUACAUGCCUUUGCAGUUCCGCGUUGUGUUUCACAGCUUUGUUGCCUCAUGCUGGGCUAUUUUCCUCAACCUGAAAGCAAGGUCUGUUGCGGUUAAGAGUGCAUAGAACCAGCAACAGACUUGUAGACGCAUCUGCUCCUCAGCGCAGCACUUUCAACGUCUCUGGCCUUUGUUUAUAUGGGAUUAGAAAUCGUGACUGAAUUUUUUUUCCUUUUUGUGGUUAGGGUCAUCAAUUUCUACUCAUUGAGCCUAUAUUUGUGAUUUUAUCAAGCUUUCAUUUAAUGCUGAAGGGAGAUUUCAUAACAAAUCAGGAAUUUGGUUAUGUACUUUUAAAUGGAAUAAGCUAGCUUCCAGUGCUUACGGCGAAAAGCUUAGCUUAUUGGAUAAAGCAUUUGGAAUUCUUGUAAGAGGUAUUGGUUCCAGUCCUUAUUCCUUGUAAGAAAAGAUAGCUUCCCGGUUAAAUGCAUGAAAAAGUAAAAAGGGUUUGUUAGAUCCAGAAGAUGAUUGAUAGCAAAA